rnacentral:rRNA from 1 species
CCGGCGCACGGGUGAGUAACACGUAUCCAACCUGCCGUCUACUCUUGGCCAGCCUUCUGAAAGGAAGAUUAAUCCAGGAUGGCAUCAUGAGUUCAUAUGUCCGCAUGAUUAAAGGUAUUUUCCGGUAGACGAUGGGGAUGCGUUCCAUUAGAUAGUAGGCGGGGUAACGGCCCACCUAGUCAACGAUGGAUAGGGGUUCUGAGAGGAAGGUCCCCCACAUUGGAACCGAGACACGGUCCAA